ensembl:lncRNA
GGUUUGAAUGUAAUGAUGAUUUGAUGAGUUAAUAUUGGUAGAACUGAAUUAAACAAAAAAAGAAAAGUUUAGAUUAUCAAUAGGGAUCUUGAAACAAAUCCAUUUCUCUAAAAAUUAGUUCAAGACACUGACGGUUAUUAGUAAGAAAUGGAGUAGUUCACUUUUAUAUCACUUAAAUUUACCGAGACACAAGUCUGUGUGCAGACUAAUAAUACCGCACAUUUCCAUGUUUUAUUUAGUGUUUUCUGUUAUAUUGUCUUAUUCAGGAUGGUGUCUUAGGUUGUUUCUGUCCAUUGAUUUAAUUUCAAAAUAGUUUUAGGCUUCCACAAAACAUAAAUAAUCUGUAGGUUUAUUAUCAAAGUCAAACAAAUAAAAGAAGAUUAGAAAAAAGCAAAUAUUUUCCCAUUUUGCAGUUUUACUGCUGGACGAAUGCUUAAAAAAAUGAGAAAUCUGCUUUGUAUUCAUAGCUCAUCUUUAAGAGGUCUUUAUAUGUUAGCAAAUUAUGUAUUUUGCUCUUUACUGUCUCCAUAAACUAUUAAAAUAUAUUAGCUUGCACCUCAUAAAUGUUACCACGGCACAACUCUUACUCACACUGGUAAAACAUCAAGAGGAACUGAUAUCACAGGGGAAAGGAAUGAUUUACUAAAGUUACAUAAAACUCUUCUUUCUGUGGCAGAUUACAAUAAAACUUCUAUAUAAUCUCUAAUAGUGGAAUAUUAUACAUAGGCUCUAUAAAAACAUCUUUAUGGCUCAGGAAAGAGAAGCAUUACGGCUUGUUCCCUGUUCGUUACGGUUUAAACGGUUUAAAGAUAAAUGAGUCCAUAUAUUUCACACAUCAGACGUCAUCUAAUUCACUGGAGGUUUGUCCAUAAAAAUGAGUCUUGUUUCAGAUUUUAGGUUGUGAGGAAGCGUCCACUAGUAGCGAAGAGAUGCAGUCCGAUAAGAAACAAUACAAAAAAUAAAACAAUUUGUUGCACACUUUAAACCUGUUGAUUACACAGUAAUACGAUGAUCUUCGUAUGUAUAACAACGUUUUUAUUUUCACUUUUAUUUCAUCUCAAAUUAGCUCAUUCCCAAAAAUGUUGGACUAUCCAUCUGUUGAAUACCCUGUAAUAUUAAUACAGACAGUAUGUUGUGAUCUUUCUGCUUUCAUUCAUCUGCCAACUUUAUGUAUAGUAUUAUUACAUUACAAGUCAUUUAGCUGAUGCUUUUAUCCAAAGCGACUUACAUCACAUUUUUAAUCCAUGGCUUUUUUACAUUUCGCCCAGGGAGCAAUUAGGGGUUAGGUGUCUUGCUCAGGGACACUUCAACAUGGGACAUGGAGCAGCCGGGGCUCAAACCGACAACCAUGCGGUUCUCCGGCACACCCUGUCUACCCACGCGCCACCGUCGACCCCCCGUCGACCCCCCGUCGAGGAUAUAUGUCCUAAAACAAACAUAUUAUGCACACACAGAUAUCCUGGUGUCCUGGUUGCUCUUCCUGGAGCAGCAGGGUGUCGCAGGGGGAGGAGGGGGGAGAAAAUGGAAGCGCAGGGACAACAGAGACAACAGGAGAACAGACCUCCCAUUGAACUUGGCUUGCUUCCAGCUCUCACUCAGCCAGCAAGCAGCUGUGAAUCAGUCGCUUGCUUAUGCACAAAAACGCUGCCAUUACAUUAAACACACACUCGAUCAGGCGCCCCAGUCCCAUACCCAGGUCCAGUCCCAGUCUCAUGCCCAGGCCCAGUCCCAGUCCCAGUCCCAGUCCCAGUCCCAUACCCAGGUCCAGUCCCAGUCUCAUGCCCAGUCCCAGUCCCAGUUCCAUACCCAGUCCCAGUCCCAGUCCCAUACCCAGGUCCAGUCCCAGUCUCAUGCCCAGGCCCAGUCCCAGUUCCAUACCCAGGUCCAGUCCCAGUCUCAUGCCCAGUCCCAGUCCCAUACCCAGGUCCAGUCCCAGUCUCAUGCCCAGGCCCAGUCCCAGUUCCAUACCCAGGUCCAGUCCCAGUCUCAUGCCCAGGCCCAGUCCCAGUCCCAGUCCCAGUCUCAUACCCAGGUUCAGUCCCCGGCCCCGUCCAAGACCCAGGUCCAGAUUCAGACGCGGGCUAACAGCAUGGGAAAGUCCUCCUCCAGUAUCAGCUCUCCCAUUUACCCCCUGGUCUCCUCUGUCGGCGCUGCGCUCUUACCUGCAGGGCUUUUCGUUCCUGAUUCUCCUACUUUUUCUCUUUUUAGUUUCUUGACAGACGUUGGCCUGGGGGGGUUGCGUUUGGUGAAGCUCUGGUGGGAACCAGCGUAGGGUGACCGCAGGAAGGGGGUCUUCCAUGAGGAUGUUGGGAGGAUCCUGGUGGAUGACAGUACUGUUUGUGCAGGCAGAUGUACAGAGACAGAGAGAGCCUGGCUUGGGAACACCCUGAUCGAGGGGUACCGUCGGCCCGUCUGAGGCCCAGAAGGAACUCGCGCAUCUCGCCGGCGGUCACGAAUCCGCGGCGCUGUGCGGGAGAAGCCCGAGCGGGCCCCCGCACAGCGAGGGAAGAUGACCUCCGGUGAUAACGCUCACAGGGGUGAAUGUCAAUCACGCUGCCUGCACGAAUGUGUGUGCGCGUGUCUGCAUGUGUGAAACAAUGCUCCACGAUUGUUGAUGCAAGUAUGUUUUGUGUACAAUGCAUUCUUAGUGUGUGUGUGUGUGUGUGUGUGUGCCCACCGAUGGCCCGUUAGAUUGAGCUGUCAGUCUGCAGGCGGCAGAUGAAGAUUAAUGGAGCGUGCAAACAAUAAGAAGCUGGCAAUGAUCAUAAAUAUGCUAAUGGCUAUUAUCAAUACACACUCCCUGACAGGGUGUGUGUGUGUGUCUGUACAGUAUUCCAGUAGCAAAGAUUUGGGUAGGAGAUUAUUCGAUGAAGUUAAAAUUGUUCUCCCUCCCCUUGGGAUGCACACAAACACACACACACACACACACACACACACACACACAGACGCACACACAUUUUUAGAGCGGCAGUGUGUUGACUGACUGAUGGACGGGAGAGACAGCCGUCCCAUGUGUUAUGUUUGUGUUGUGGGCUGUGAGAGGGGAGGGGGGCUCAUUGAGCAGAUUACAUGAUUGGUUUUGUAUCAAAAUGUGUUUAUUUAGUGUUUGUGUGUCCGCGCGUGUGUGUGUGUGUAGGUGUGUGAGAAGCGCCGUGGAUGUCUACGAUGUCUGUGCCAAGCCACUGAUUAAGGGUUCAGCUACAGGUUCAGCUAAUGGCACAAUGAGAGGCUGAUUAAGAGCGGCAGAGAUGCUGGGAAAAAAAAGAGAGUGGCGUGAGAUAUAAAAGGGAGAGAUGGACAGAUCCAUUCACUACACUGAUGAUGGGGCUCUUUGUUGUCUCAUCCCAUUCUAUGGUCCUCUGGGGUCCUUCCUAUGUCUGGAGCAUACACUCAUUUAAAAAGAAAAAAGCCUCUUUCUUUACCCGCUGCCUCAGCCUCCUUCCUCCUUCCUCACAACCCAUGUGGGUCACCCAGCGCAGAGGAGCAGCACAGGGGCCGCAAACUGAAACCCGGUCACCGUUCAUCACCUGGGAAACAUACUUCUUCACCUCCUUCUGUACUUUUUACCCCUGGUUGUCUCCUCUAAUGCCCCCCUCCUCCUCUCACUUUGCUCUGCUAGGGUCUGCAGGGUCCACUGGGAAAUGUUGGGGGCUCACAGGGCUCUCCAACCUUCCUUGUCCUUUAAACACACAUAACUCCUGCACUCCCUGACCCCCCCUCCCCUCGAACACACACACACGCACACACACUAUUCAUCCGAUCCUGAUAGGGAGUCAUUUGUGUGUGCUCGGGUGGCGAUGGAUGGAGCAUGUAAAGUAGACAUAGGGAAGUGGUUAUGAUCUGGGCUAAUGAGCUCACAGGGGACUCUGGGAUAGAGGAGGCCGGCCAGUGGCAGGCCUGCUUUGGAUACACCCCUCUGGGGGGGGUCCCUGUUCCAGCCCGGUUGCCCCAUGGGAAUGUGUCAGUGUAUGAGUGUGUACAGUAUCUGUUUGAAACGGUCCCCGCGGUCAUUACAUACGCAUUCUGCUGAGCUGGGUAUUAUUGCGCUCCAUGGACACGGGUAGCAUUUAGAUGUCGAAUCACAUCGGUCAUUAAGUCAAGGUCACCGCUGAGGGCGAAAACACGGAGGGACCCGCUGCUUUUUGGACUGCUAUCGAACAAAAGACACCCUCCCUUGCAAGCCAGGCAGAUCAAACUCAUAGAAACUCAGUGACUGCGUCCGCGGUGACCGAACAGGUGUGCGCGCGUGUGUAUCGCUGUGUCGUUUUGUGUGCGUCUCAUUGCCAUGCAUGGUGUGUCAAGAGUUGUCCAGGAGGCUGAGCCGCCGCUCGCUGCUCGAGGGCACAGUUAUAGAUUACUGGCUGCAGCGGGCGGGGGGGGGGCCAGGGGAGCCGCCGGAGCCCAGACCCGAGAACGACAGGCCCCGGACGCGUCUCUCGGCUCAUCAGCGUAUCUCUCGAAGGCUGCGGAGCUUAACCUGGAGCAAGGCUCUGAUUAACCGGGCUAAUGACGGGGCAGCCCCCAGCUCCCACUGACCAACACCAUAAUCACUGCUUAAGGCCCCGGCCAGUCGGCGUGUGUGUAUGGAGAGAGACAGAGAGAGAGAGAGAGAGAGAGAGAGAGAGAGAGAGUAGUGUCACAGCUUAAUGGAUAAGUCUACUGACAACAAGCAUUUAAAGUCAGCUGUCGAUACCAGCUUUUAGAGUCACUCGCAUUGGCAGGGGAACGGCGUAUAAAGAGGCUGAAUCGACACGUUCAGACGCCCAAUUCUUUUUUCCUGUGUUUGACAGUUGAACGUGUUCAUGCGGCUGAGUUUGUGCGUGUAGCCGCGGAAUGGCUGUGCGUGUGUGUGAAAGUGUGUGUAACCGCAUUUGUAGGUGUUUAAUAAGUGCUGAUCGAUGCCUUAUCUCCAAAGUAAACAUUUCCUCAGAACAGUGGACGGACUCAGCCUUGGGUACACAGAGGGAACCCCGACAGGCAAACUGCACAAAGCAAACGACACAUGCAAAUAAGACAAAGACAGAUGUGUUUUUGUCCGUGUGCGACUCUUACAGACAACUUCCCAGUAAAGGAAACUAGCGUGCACCCGUGAUGCAAGUUAAGUGUCUUUGUGGGUGCGAGGCCGGGAAGGGUGGCGGUGCAAUUGCCCUGCAGCAAGAA